AAAUUGCAGCCCGACUUGAGUGGAAAUCCUUUUUAUUUUUAUUGCGAUGGCGAUAAAGUUCAACGGAUUGCUUCGCUUCGGUCGCAAUGAAAAUAAAAAGAUUGGGAACGGAAGGCGGAAAUGUCU
rnacentral:sRNA from 1 species